GAAAGGCUUCGGCCGGACAGGGAUGGGCAUGCGGCGCAUUAGGCAGUAGGCGGGGUAACGGCCCACCUAACCGACGAUGCGUAGGGGUUCUGAGAGGAAGGUCCCCCACACUGGUACUGAGACACGGACCAGACUCCUACGGGAGGCAGCAGUGAGGAAUAUUGGUCAAUGGUCGGGAGACUGAACCAGCCAAGCCGCGUGAGGGAUGAAGGUACAGAGUAUCGUAAACCUCUUUUGUCAGGGAACAAAGGCGGGGACGUGUCCCCGGAUGAGUGUACCUGAAGAAAAAGCAUCGGCUAACUCCGUGCCAGCAGCCGCGGUAAUACGGAGGAUGCGAGCGUUAUCCGGAUUUAUUGGGUUUAAAGGGUGCGCAGGCGGUCUGUUAAGUCAGCGGUCAAAGCCCGGGGCUCAACCCCGGCCCGCCGUUGAAACUGGCAGUCUCGAGUUGGAGAGAAGUAUGCGGAAUGCGCGGUGUAGCGGUGAAAUGCAUAGAUAUCGCGCAGAACUCCGGUUGCGAAGGCAGCAUGCCGGCUCCACACUGACGCUGAGGCACGAAAGCGUGGGUAUCGAACAGGAUUAGAUACCCUGGUAGUCCACGCAGUAAACGAUGAAUGCUGGCUGUCCGGGGGGACUGACCCCUGG
rnacentral:rRNA from 1 species